rnacentral:lncRNA from 1 species
AAUCAAGAAGAAAAUCACAGAGACCCCAGCAUGGAAAUGGGUGCAGCAUGUGAGCUGUGAGUGCCCCAAACACAGAUGGCCCAGGAACUCAGCAAAGGCUUCCACUUCUUGUUUGACCCAAGAAAUGUCAUGCAAAGGAACUCCUGCAAACCUUGCCCAUCUCCACACCUACACCCCAGGGAAGCUGCCACCUGGGCUGGGAUGCCCACUGCCCCAGGCUGAGCAAGGUACCUGCCACGACCCUUCCACCUUCUCUACACCUGACCCAAUGUUCUGGUUUCUUCAAGGGAAAAACAGCGGCUGCACAUCGAAGAAAGCAAUUCUAAUAACUUGUUGAAUAGCUUCCCGAGAACCCUGGGUGAUGUUGGGCUCUUGCUACCAACCAAAUCUCUCAUGCCUUUGUUCAGGCUCUUGAACUCCCAGGCCUGAGAGCUGGGCUCAGGUCCUGGGUCACCAAUAUUCCUUCUCGAUAUCCCAGGAAUACUCCACUCCUUGUUACAGACGUUGGCAGUUGAAAGUUUAGCUCUGGAAUGAGCCGCUCAGUUUUCAUCUUGGGGAUACUGAC